AUUGAAACACAACUUCCCAUACAAUCACUGAAGUUAAGCAAUGUCAUGCCGGUCAGUACCGAGAUGGGUGAUCUCUUGGGAAUACCAGGUGCUGUAAG